CCCUUCUUAGGACAUGGGCAGGUGUGCUAGGUGUGCAUCCCCACAGGUUAGGUCUUGGAAGCCGUGGAGGAGUAGGAGGGGACGAAAACCAUGUUGGGCAGUAGGCGCUAAAGUGGAGUGGUGACUGUUGGUGUUAACUCGGUCUCUGUUCGUCGAGUGGGGCCGAUGUAGAUGGGAUGGAAGAGGGAGGCAGGGAUGAGGCCAAGAUUUCAAGCACCAAUAGAGCUGUGUGUAGUUAUGGCUCAUGCUUGGCUUUUGCAGCUGCGCUUGCAGAGGAAUUGUCCAGGAGCCCCAGCCCAAGGAGAAACUGGCAGAAGUGGAUCUGAGCAGCCUGGACAUCCUUCUAAGGAGACAUGAACAGUCCUCAGCUUUCUGCCUUUUGCAUAACUGCCUGUGAGUAAGAGUACCAAGGAGAAAAAAGUCACGGUCAGAGUCUACUGUCCUCAUGCGAUGGAAAGUGAGCGAGAGUGACGAGACCACGAGCAUUGUCAAAAUCAAGCAUUAGGCAUGCAUCUGGGAGCGGAGCAGCUACUGCUGUCAGUGAGAUAAGUGUCUGUUCUGGUGAGAGCUCUGCUCACGGCCCACCUGGCUCCAGGUAGGGACGUCUUGUUAGUUGGGCCUGUUUUUGUAACAAAAUGUUCAUGACUAGCUGUGGUUAUGAGGGAGACUGGGUCCCCAUUUUCAGGGUCUGCUCAUUUCUCUGCUGACAAGCAAUGUGUCCUCUGCAGAAAAGGUAGGUUCCAGGUGGCGAGUUGCUUGCCUUCCUCCCGUGUUUCUCUCUCUCUCUUCUCUAGUGUUGGCCAACACACUCUGUCAGUCUGUCCUUGCCUCUUUUUCUGCUGUUUCACUUCAUUGCACACAGGCAGGUGAGUUAGCUGUGUAUCCCCAGAGGCCAGGUCUCGGGAAGCAUGGCGAAGUAGGAGAGGACGAAAAUAAUGCAGGGAAGUGGGUGUGAGAGUGAGGCAGGUACUGGAAGGUCUUGUGCACCUGUAGUGUUUUUGGCAGUGAUGGCUCUUCCAUAGGUGGUUUGCUGUUCUUGCAGAGGGCAGCGGAGCAUCUGCAGGAAGCGGACCUGCACAAUCUAGCUGUUUCACUUUGCAGUGGAGCCGAGGAGCGCUCUUGUAAUGUUGGAGGAGCAGUCGUACUGAGAUUGGUCAGAUGAGAGAUCGGCCAACCUGUGGCAGAGACCAAGGAAGGAACAGCCACCCGGAGCCCAUCCCUAGGGAUGGAAGCCGGACAAUGAUCUGCAGAUACCACGGAGGAAGAAGUGAAGGGUAAGAGCCCACCCCCGUUGUGAGAUGGAAAACACCAAGAGCCGUGAGACCACAAGCGUUGUCGAUGCCAGGCUAUGGCGAUGCCGUCCAUCUGGGAGUGGAGCAGCCGUCACCAUCAGUGAGAUAAGUGUCUGGUUUGGGGAGGACUCCGGUAACGGCCCACCUGCCUCCAGGCUGAGACUUGUCAUUAGCUGGGGCUCGGUUUGUAGGAAAAGAUUCCUGACCUGCUGUGGUUACGAGGGAGACAAGGUCCCCAUUUUCAGGGGCUGGUCUUUUCUCUGUCCACAAACAGUGUGUCCUACGCAGCAGAAGGUUGGAUCGAGGAGGAUGACUCCAGCUGUUGAGUUUCUUGACUCCAUCCCACAUUUUUCUCUCUCUCUCCUCUAAUGUGUUGGCCAACACACACUGUCUGUCUCUCUCUCU